CAGCAGGCACGCAAUUACCAAUCCCAGCUCGGGGAGGUAGUGACGAAAAAUAACAAUGCGGGACUCUUCCGAGUCUGCGUAAUUGGAAUGAGCACACUUUAAAUCCUUUAGCAACAACCAAUUGGAGGGCAAGUCUGGUGCCAGCAGCCGCGGUAAUUCCAGCUCCAAUAGCGUAUAUUAAAGUUGUUGCGGUUAAAAAGCUCGUAGUUCGAGGUCAGUUCCGGACUGGCUGGGGAGGUCACCGCCCGGUGCUUGCCCGUCAGGCUCCGAACAGCUUCACACAGUAGAAGCCAAGCCGGUUCUCGCCGGGGUGCUCUUGACCGAGUGUCCCGCGCGGCCGGCCAGUUUACCUUGAAUAAAUGAGAGUGCUCAAAGCAGGCUACUCUUAAAACUAAAGCCCGAAUGUUACCUGCAUGGAAUGAUGGAAGAUGAUCUCGGUUCCAUUUUAUUGGUGGUGGGAAUCCGAGUUAAUGAUAAAGAGGGACUGUCGGGGGCAUCCGUACUACGACGCGAGAGGUGAAAUUCAGUGACCGUCGUAGGACGAACAACAGCGAAAGCAUUUGCCAAGAAUGUCUUCGUUGAUCAAGAACGAAAGUUAGAGGAUCGAAGGCGAUCAGAUACCGCCCUAGUUCUAACCCUAAACGAUGCUGACUAGCAAUUCGCCGUCGUUAUUCCCAUGACGUGGCGAGACGCCCCCGGGAAACCUCAAGUUUUUGAGUUCCGGGGGUAGUAUGGUUGCAAAACUGAAACUUAAAGGAAUUGACGGAAGGGCACCACCAGGAGUGGAGCCUGCGGCUUAAUUUGACUCAACACGGGAAACCUCACCAGGCCCGGACACCAGAAGGAUUGACAGAUUAAGAGCUCUUUCUCGAUUUGGUGGGUGGUGGUGCAUGGCCGUUCUUAGUUGGUGGAGUGAUUUGUCUGGUUAAUUCCGGUAACGAACGAGACUCUGGCCUACUAAAUAGUCGACGCGGGUUUUGGUGCAUGAGCCCCGUUCGACCUAGUCUUCUUAGAGGGAUGAGCAGCGAGUAUAGCUGCAGGAGAUUGAGCAAUAACAGGUCUGUGAUGCCCUUAGAUGUCCUGGGCCGCACGCGCGCUACACUGAAUGGGUUAGCGGGUUGUCCUUCUCCGAGAGGAGCGGGAAAUCGCGUGAAAACCAUUCGUGAUAGGGAUUGGGGCUUGCAAUUGUUUCCCAUGAACGAGGAAUUCCCAGUAAGCGCAAGUCAUCAGCUUGCGUUGAUUAAGUCCCUGCCCUUUGUACACACCGCCCGUCGCUACUACCGAUUGAAUGAUUUAGUGAGGCCUUCGGACUGGCGGUCUUGGACUGGGUUCCGCUCGCCAUCCAACCCCAGCAAUGGGGGGCGGCGGACUCGCCAUGACGAGCCGGAAAGAUGUCCAAACUGAUCAUUUAGAGGAAGUAAAACGUCUUAACAAGGUUUCC
rnacentral:rRNA from 1 species